rnacentral:rRNA from 1 species
CACGUAGGCACCAAGCGUUGUCCGGAUUUAUUGGGCGUAAAGAGCUCGUAGGCGGUUCCGUAAGUCGGGUGGUAAAACCCAGGGCUCAACCCUGGGCCUGCAUUCGAUACGGGCAGACUAGAGUUCGGUAGGGGAGACUGGAAUUCCUGGUGUAGCGGUGAAAUGCGCAGAUAUCAGGAGGAACACCGGUGGCGAAGGCGGGUCUCUGGGCCGAAACUGACGCUGAGGAGCGAAAGCGUGGGGAGCAAACAGG